ACAUGUGUGCGAGUCAUUGAGUUAUGAAUUCAAACAGACAAAACUGAAAGGCGCAACGAAAGUGAAGGCGCGCGCUUGUCGCGCGCUCAGGGAGGAUGGAGCGUCGGUCGUCAAAAAUCGAUCUCUCGCACUCCCGAGGCGUCUCGUUUCCAAUCAGCGAAUGCGAGCGCGCUCUGAAUACAGAUGCUGGGACCCGAAAGAUGGUGAACUAUGCCUGGCCAGGUCGAAGUCAGGGGAAACCCUGAUGGAGGACCGUAGCGAUUCUGACGUGCAAAUCGAUCGUCGGGACUGGGUAUAGGGGUGAAAGACUAAUCGAACCAUCUAGUAGCUGGUUCCGUCCGAAGUUUCCCUCAGGAUAGCUGGCGUCGACUGGUAACAGUCUCAUCCGGUAAAGCGAAUGAUUAGAGGCAUUGGGGCCGAAACGACCUCAACCUAUUCUCAAACUUUAAAUGGGUGAGAACUCCGGCUUACUCGAACGAUGAAGCCGGAGAUCUGAUGACGGUGCCGAGUGGGCCAAUUUUGGUAAGCAGAACUGGCGCUGUGGGAUGAACCAAACGUAGUGUUAAGGCGCCUAAAAAACGCUCAUGGGACACCAUGAAAGGCGUUAGUCGCUCAUGACAGCAGGACGGUGGCCAUGGAAGUCGGAAUCCGCUAAGGAGUGUGCAACGACUCACCUGCCGAAGCGACCAGCCCUGAAAAUGGAUGGCGCUGAAGCGUUUUGCCUAUACACUAUCGUUACCGGCAAUCGGCGCGUGCGUGUCAAAGCGCACGCGUAUUAUGCCGUAACGAGUAGGACGUGCGCGGCGGAGUGCGCAGAAGGGUCUGGGCGUGAGCCCGCCUGGAGCCUCCGUCGGUGCAGAUCUUGGUUGUAGUAGCAAAUACUCCAGCGAGGCCCUGGAGGACUGACGUGGAGAAGGGUUUCGCGUGAACAGUAGUUGCUCGCGAGUCAGUCGAUCCUAAGCUCAAGGAGAGAUCUUAUGUCGAUGCGGCGUGUUUAUAUAUAUUUUGUGUAUAUGAUAAAUAACGCCCUUUGUGGCAAAAGGGAAUCCGAUUCCUAUUCCGGAACCCGGCAGCGGAACCGUUUCAAUAAUCGUUCUCUCGUUUCUCAAGCGAGUGUUCGACGGGGUAACCCAAAGUGGCCUGAAGACGCCGCCGAGUGGUCCGGGAAGAGUUUUCUUUUCUACCUGAGCGUUCGAGUUCCAUGGAAUCCUAUAGAAGGGAGAUAUGGUUCGGAACGCGAAGAGCACCACAUUUGCGGCGGUGUCUGGAUACUCUCUGCGGACCUUGAAAAUUCAGGUGAGGGAUGUACGUGGAGAUGUCGCGCCGGCUCGUACCCAUAUCCGCAGCAGGUCUCCAAGGUGAAGAGCCUCUAGUCGAUAGAAUAAUGUAGGUAAGGGAAGUCGGCAAAUUGGAUCCGUAACUUUGGAAUAAGGAUUGGCUCUGAGGACCGGGGCGUGUCGGGUUUGGACGGGAAGUGGAUGCGGCCGGUGCCGGGCCUGGUCGAUGCUCGCGCGUGUCUCCAUCGCAAGGUGGUCUCGCGCGUCGUGCUGAAUCCGGACCCGCGUUCCGGCCUUUCGCGGAUCUUCCUAGCCGUAAGUCCGCGUUGGUUUCGUCUCGUGCGCGAUCGGCGCGGUACUGUACGACCGCCGUUCAACGGUCAGCUCAGAACUGGCACGGACAAGGGGAAUCCGACUGUCUAAUUAAAACAAAGCAUUGCGAUGGCCCUCGCGGGUGUUGACGCAAUGUGAUUUCUGCCCAGUGCUCUGAAU